GGAUGAGCAAUUUAUUCUGAGGGUUCCACCUUCUGUUGCUGAGCGAAUUGACCGUCUUUUAAGUGAAAAUCCUUCUUCAGAAGACAAACUGGACUUGUCUUUUUCUGAGGAUGGAAAGACGGGCAGUUUUGUCAUAGGCGAUGUGCACUUUCCUGCAUCACUUUUGAAUCUUCCUUGCAUAGUGGAGUCGUACAAAACUUAUGAUGACAACGUGCUCAUUAAAUCCGCAGACAUUGGUCAAAUGAUUAUGGUGAGAGAAGAAGGUGAUCCUGUUCCAGAUGUGGUGGAAUAUAGACAUGGCCUCACACCUCCAAUGAGAGAUGCACGAAGACGAAGAUUUCGGAGAGAGCCAGAUCUUAAUCCUGAGCUUGUUCGGCGUGUUGAGAAAGACUUGCAGAACAUAAUGUCUGGUGGAACAGCUGAGAAUAUUGAUAUAGAAGUUGUCGAGCAAGAGGAAGGAGGUGAAGCAAGUGCACGCCAUGUGAACAAGAAAGUGGCACAACCUGCAACAAAGCCUGACAUUUCUGAGCCCGGGACAGCUGGUGAGGAUCCUGAUAGAACUGAAUCUGAGGAUUCUGAUGAUUCAAUAUAGUCGAUGACAUUUUUCAGCCUUUGCUAUUGUUAUAGUGGCUACAAGUCUUUGCUAAUGUUGUAGUGCACUUCUAGUUAAGCGCCUUCAGAAUUUAUUAGAAAUUUUAGCUCUUGUAUUUUAAUACAGUUGGCUUAUCGUGUCUAGGUUUGAAUAUCGCUGUAAUAUAACAGUUUGCAAUGUCUACUUCAGACAUGCUAGCAUGACAAUUGCAAAUUGUGUUCUGUAAAGUGAUGGUCUAUC
rnacentral:misc_RNA from 1 species